AAUAAGAUGUCUGAUUAAGGUGUUAAACUGUAAAUUUAAUUAUGGGCAUAAUAGCUCUCUUGUUA
rnacentral:tRNA from 1 species